rnacentral:lncRNA from 1 species
AAUAAGAUCAGCAUUUACCUAUACGAAAAAGUUAGGUCCUUUAAUGUAAACUUUUUAUAUUUCUUCAUAUUUUAUAGUUCUAUUUGGGCCAAUCUAUCCGGCGUACGGCCGGCGCGUGAGCGUCCGUGCCGUCGCCGGAAUCCUUAUUCUUGUUCAAAGAGGUUGCUUUUAACCUCUUCUUCGUCGCGCCUCACCGAUUUGCUUUGUCGGAGCUCUGGAUUGGAAUCAUCACUCAUCGGUGGUCUCCUCGCGUGGAGGGAAGACGCGGUCGCGUGGUGGCUAACGGCGUGAGAAGAGAGGCUUGCAUGUGUCAGUGGUUUGUUUCUCCGGGAGGUGGAGGCUUCUUCAGCUUCGCCGCCGCCGGUUCUAGUUCCCGGGAAGGGGAGGCUUUCUCUGCUCCGUCUUCGCCGGUUUUGGCUCCGGAGGGUAGGGGCUCACAUAGCCCUACGCUGUCGGUUUAGGUCCCUUAUCUUUUAGGGUUUUGGUUUUAUCCUGGUUUUAUUAUGAUUCGGUUGGUUGUGGGUCGUCGGAGGAGAGGAAAGUUCUCCGGCGGAAAGAGUGGCGAUGCAUGCGACGUCUCUUCUUGAGGGUCUGUGGUGAACGGUGUUGGAGGAGAUCUCGCCGCGGCGAUUGAUUACCUCCGGUUUUUAGAGACCCAAAGAUGGGAUGGUCGGAAGAAGAUUGUCGGAGCUUUUGAGUUCCGGGGUGGUCGGAAGAUGGGAUGUUUGGAUCUCCGACGAAAACGCGAAGCGGUGGUGACGUGGUGUCCUCGCAACACGUGUAUCCUCGACGGCGAGGAUGGCAACACGUGUCCAAGCAGCAGAGAUGCUGGGAUGCGAGGCGGCGAAGUCAAUCGCGUGAAGGGUUAGGGUUUUCUUCAAGUUGGGCCGGAAUGUGUGGCCCAGUUGAGAAGCGUGUUUGCCCCUUUGUUUCUAUUGGGCUUUUGUUUGUUUUUUUAUUUGUAUUGGGCUUGGCCCAUUUUUAAUAUUAAAAACCUUUCGACGGAAAAAAAA